CAGCGGCGCACGGGUGAGUAACACGUGGGUAAUCUGCCCUAGAGUGGGGAAUAACACCGGGAAACCGGUGCUAAUACCGCAUACGAUCACGAUGUCUGCGGAUGUUGUGAUGAAAGGAGCAAUUCGCUCUUGGAGGAGCCCGCGGCUGAUUAGCUAGUUGGUAAGGUAAUGGCUUACCAAGGCAACGAUCAGUAGCCGGUCUGAGAGGACGGUCGGCCACACUGGAACUGAGACACGGUCCAGACUCCUACGGGAGGCAGCAGUGGGGAAUUUUUCGCAAUGGGGGCAACCCUGACGAAGCAACGCCGCGUGGGUGAUGAAGUCUCUUGGGACGUAAAACCCUUUCGACGGGGAAGAAACCGCAAGGUUGACGGUACCCGUAGAAGAAGCCCCGGCUAACUCCGUGCCAGCAGCCGCGGUAAUACGGGGGGGGCAAGCGUUGUUCGGAAUUACUGGGCGUAAAGGGCGCGUAGGCGGUUUGCUAAGUUGAAUGUGAAAACUCUGGGCUUAACCCAGAGCCUGCAUUCAAUACUGGCAGGCUAGAGUUCUGGAGGGGAUAGCGGAAUUCCUGGUGUAGCGGUGAAAUGCGUAGAUAUCAGGAGGAACACCGGUGGCGAAGGCGGCUAUCUGGACAGAGUC
rnacentral:rRNA from 1 species